CAGAAAGAUACUAAGCAGGCACUCUAUUGACUGGCAGUACUAUUUUACUUUCUUACAAUUGUGUGUGUCCGUCUGCAGCUCGCUUUGAUUUAUAGCCACCAAUGGGUUAUGAACAUAGGAGCAAGAGCUAUCCUUCAUUAAGCAGUAACCUAAAACAUGAAUAUGCAGGAAACACAAGAAUUAUAAAUCAAAGUGGAAAUGCCAUUGUGAGGAUUAAUUCAAUCGAAGAAGUUGGGUCCAAAGCUAUGUGUUUUGCAUAGCACACUACAUGACAGAUCACAUAAUUGUCGAAUCUAAGUCUUCAUCGUACACUUCUUUACAACAAGAAUCGUGUAUGUAUAUACCUGUCAUAUUUUGGGUUCCGGCAGACCCUUGAGGUUCGAACACUGGGGUGCACGCGGAGAUCUCUCCCCUACCGAUCUACGUCCAAUCUCCUUGAGUGAUCUAAGCUGGAAAACAACGAACAACACAAGGGACACGAGGUUUAUACUGGUUCGGGCCACCAUUGUGGUGUAAUACCCUACUCUAGUGUGUGGUGUGGUGGAUUGCCUUAGGGGCUGAUGAUGAACAGUACAAGGGAAGAACAGCCUCGCGAGAGGUGUUCUUGAGCUGGUGCGAUGAACUGCGUGGGUGAGUUCAGUAGCCUCUCUCUCCCUCUGCUAGGAUUCUACCAGAUCUCUCGCUGUCUCUCUCUCUCUCUCUCGAUCCUUGUCUCCCUCUCUCGAUCGUUGUCUCCCUCCCCCCACUCUAUGGUGGCUAGCUCUACUUAUAGAGUCCCUAGGCCUCUCCCCAAAUAAUGAGCAGGAAGGGCACCAACAAUUGGCCAUUUUGAAGGGGAACAUCUAGUGCAAGUUAUCCUGACCAAAGGUGGUUUUCGGUUGCCAAAAGCACUGGUGAUGACGCCGUCUUGGGCUCCACGGUGACCUCCGUCCUCCCGCUCUGUUGGUCUUGGUCUCGUUGCACCAGAAUGGUAACCUUUGCCCGAUGCCUUGGCCUGUGCUUACCCCCUUUGCACCAAAGGGGAAACAAGGACACUGCGCAGGCUGGCGCUCGCCUGGUCUCGAUCGUCAUGGCUUGCGUCACGGGCUCCUUGCGAGGUAUCCCCGCCUUGAUCUCUUCGCCUCCUCGCGAGCCUGCCUGAUGAGGCUGCCUCUAAGGAAGCUUCCUGUCAUCCGCCCCGCGAGGCUUGGCCCCUCGUGAGGGUCUUGAGCUUGAGCUGAUGAAGAUGGGCUGCGCUGGUCCCCCACUUGAGCCACGCCGCAGGCCGCAGGCAGGCAAGUCUGGGGACCCCCGUUCCUAGAACACCGACAAUACCUAUGAUCAAUGAUAUCAGACUAAUAUCCAGAUAGAAGUAAUACCAAACAUGAUUAUUCAAUUGCAAAUUUGUAAUCAAUAUUUUGUAUAUUUCAAACCAUAAAACUUGAUCUCUUUAUCUUGAACCAUUUGUUAGUUGACAGAAAUCAUAAUUCACAUUUAUACCGAGGGUUGUACGCAAAUGUUUAUGUUGUUAGUUGGUUUAUUAACUCUCCUUGGCAUCAGCUCUCUUGUAUCAGAUGAGGUCUAAAUCAACCAUUGUAUGAAUCAACAGAAAACUGGCAUGAGGAAAUCUUAUAAGCUAAAACAAAGAUUAUAAACUUGCUUGCUUAUUUGAGACGAACAUAGUAACCUUGCAGGCCAAAUAGCAGAUGAGAGAAACACCGCAACAUUGCCAUGCUCAUCUACUUUUCCGGUUGGAUCAUAGGAAUUUCUAUAAAUGUGCAGUAUGAAACAUGGAAGUUUAAUAGAAUAUAGGUUUGGAAUUUAAGGAUACCAACAAAAUUAAGCUUCUGGAUUAGCACUCAAAAUUGUUACUUCUUCUUGGGAUGAUCAUACAACGAAACAUAUAGUAGUGAAAAUUUGUCUAUUGUAGCUGUAAGAUAAGUCACCAAAACAAAAGGUCAUGUAUAUGCUCUGAGGCCUUAAAGUUCAAUACUGCGAUAGGAGGUUUGUGCAAAUAUGUAUGACGCCAAAAGAGGUCAUGGCUGCAUGUAGCCAUCUUAGCAUAACAAUAUAGGCAAGACUAUAACUUAUGUGUUGCUUUCAAAUUGGACGAAGUCAGAAAAAACAUGACCACAUUAUUUUUGCAAUUUCCAAGAUAAAGUCAAAGAAAGAGCCAAACUAACCUUCACAGCAAGCAUCACCUCCAGAUCAACUUCUAUCAUGGUUGCCUCGGAGACUUUGGUUCCUCCGGUGCAGGACUCAUAAUAUUUCUCUUCAUGGCCAAGAGACAUGCAUCAAUUCUUUUCACUUCAAUCUUCCUGCAUAUGUACAUCGGUAAAAAUUCAAUUAAUGACACAAAAUAUCAACAAUAACAUCAUAUAUUGCAGAUAAGAAGAGAAGAGCAUGCGAGAAGUGGGAGAGCAUAAUUGUUGAUCAGAAAUGGCAUACCUGCAAACUUGUGAGAUUUUUGGGGACAUGAUAUUUUUGCAUUGCACACGCAAUGUAGAUUAUGUCAAUUGGGAAAUUCCUUAGUUCCUAAAUGCCUGAAAGUUAUAAGCAAAUCAGGGCAUCAUGCAUGCAAGACGAUGAUGUAGAAAUGGGUGCUUCAAGGAGUGUGAACUUGCCAUAGUACAAUAUGUACUUUUCCUCCUUUAGUAAAAAAAAUCUUUAGAGCGUUAGUAAAAGGUGAUAAAAAAAUAAUGUCAUGAGGACCAUGCUAGUCGAUCAGGUUGAUAUUUGAGUUUACAAUUAAAUUAUCAUCCAUUGGAACCAACUAGCAGCUAGCACUUGUUAUGACAAACCAAAAUGCAUCGUUGGUGUUAUUUCAUAUAAGUGUACUACUAAUGUUAGUUGUUUGUGUGGAGAGCUAAUGAUAUUGGCAACCAAUACAUGUUUGCAGAAUGUAAUCACAAAACUACAUAUAAAACCCCCAUCAUAAAACAAGAGAAUUCAGAAUGAAUAUAAGAAAUGUUCACCGAGUCAGGUGUAUACCUUAAUAUAAUCCUUGAAAUUAUCCAUCGAUGUCUCAAUUGGUUCUACAAGCAUUCAAAAAGCCAAAUGCCCAGCAGACAUGUAAUCAAAUAUAUAAUAAUGGAAACAAAUAAAUUACUUGUAGAUGCUUAAGUCACAUUACAUGGGCAUAGGAAGUUGAGAAGUAAUCACACUCGGUGGUGCUCGAACCACCUAAAUAGAAUCAUACACUUUGGCCACAAGAGCUUCCCUAAUAAUAUUCCUUGUUGUAUAUGCAAGCAGCUGCAUAUCCAAGCUAUGUGAAUCUGGUUGAUAUACAAGAAAACAAACCCAUUGGAAAGCUCUGCCCACAACAAGGAAUAGAGGGAGGGGAUAAAUUAUAAAUGCCACGCAUUGCUUUCUCACAUGUUUUGCAUGCAGCUCAGUGCCUAAAACACCAAACAGAGGUACAAAUAGAUCAGGGAAGAAUGGGGUUGAAUGGGGUAUCUAGGACCGCAAGACGAACCGUACAGAGGACCUUCAUGCUUGCCAUGUACUCCUCCAUGGCUGUCAGCCUGACAGUGGAUCAUGUCAGACUGUAGACAACGGCGGUGGAGAGUCUUCAACGAGUUAUGAAUUGGUGGAGCAAGGAAGGCAAGCUGAGGUAGUGGUG
rnacentral:lncRNA from 1 species